rnacentral:tRNA from 1 species
AAUAGGUUGGCAGAAUAGUGCCACCGAUUUAGGMWCGGUUCAUGGAUAAUGUCCACCUAUUA